rnacentral:tRNA from 1 species
AGCAGCAUGGCCUAGUGGAAAGAACAUGAUCUUAAGAGUCAGAGGACCUGGGUUCUAAUCCCAGCUCUGCUA